CCUGAAGUAGCUGGUUAAAAAAGAAGAAAUUUAGUUAUCUUGUGAACCUCUCAUUAACCACUAAUAAAGUAUUUACCUGCUUUUUUGCCUUUAUAAAUUACAGUUCUGGACCCAUCGUGAUCGUUUGUUCAUAAAAUGCCUCCCGUAACAGCAUGGUCAAUCAAUUCUUUUAAUGGAUGUUCCUGAUGUACAGCCAGCUUCAGUAAUUACAUUUAAAGUGGCUUAAUUCAGAGCUGUGGCAAGACCCAGUGAAGAAUCCUGAUUUUAUCAGAAUUUAAAAGCCUGAAGACCUGUAAAGAACGGUGUCUCCAUUAUCUGUCCUCAUUUGAGAAAAGCAGAUUGCAGGAUUAACUGAACUGCUGCAUAAACAAAUUAAAUUUGUGUAGACAAUGACACAAAUGUUGUUCAUCAUUAAGGUUUCUGGAUUAAUAAAGGCCAGAAAAACAGGCCACCACAGUGUUGCAAUAUGUUCUUUGCACCAGUACGCUGAAGCUAAAUUGAACCUAUUCUAGGAGGAAGCUCUUGUAACUUUUUUCUUUCAGUGGCAGCAUUCAUGACAGCAUUCUUCUGUGAAAAAGGAGUAAAAGGAUGGAGAGCACAUGACUCGAUGCAGAACCUCAAGGCUGUAAAUAUAACUGGGGGCAGCUAGAUUACAGAGCUGUGAUUUAUUUCUCUUUCCUCUAUAACGAAAAAUAAUUUUUACAGCUUCAGUUGAGAUGCUCUGUGUGUAAUUCUUGUUAAUGCUAACUGGAGUCAGGAGGUGCACCGCGUUCAUCCCAGUAAUGACUGAACAGAUGUCGGCAGGGUCACCCAGGAAGUUUUAAGCAUUUGUGUGGCUGCGACCAACGUUCUUGUCUUUGGAAUGGCAGCAGCCUGCUUGCCACUGCUGUCACGAGUACGCAUGAGCUAUCGCUUGAUUCAGUUGCAUAGUCUUUAAACGAACAUCCGGAUAAAGCAACUUAAAAGGCGCUACACAAGUUUAAUAAUUCUGACGUAUCUGCCUACAGAAAACUAACGUACAGUUUCCUUUUGGCAGAUUUUUUCUUUCAUUAAUCUCAAAUGGCAGGCUUUCCCCUCUCACACGCUUUGAGUGAAACUCCAGCUCUCACUAAUGCCCUGCACAAUUAAUAACAAUUUGUGCACCUGCCGGAACUUCACUGUUUGUUUGUUGGUUUUUUCUUUUUUCCAUACUCAUCCCCGUCAUAAGCUCUCUUCCCCCCGCCCACUGUGCCCCUUCCUCUGCGUUUCUCUUUGUAUCGCGGGCCGGCGGGGACUGCCCUCUCCUCGACUUGCACAGCGUCCGGCACAGUGGGGCUCUCUCCAAUAGACGUUUUCAUAGCAUAAAUAUUUAUUGACGCUAUUACAAACACUGUGUUCUUGCUAUGGUAAGUACUGCCCAGCCUAGGAGUCUCUGGUAGCACGUUACCACUGCUGACACUAUUUAUUCAUUUGGAUAUGAAAUGUUAGAAAAGAUGAGCUCAGCUUUUGGUAUCUUUUAUUUAAAUAAUUAAUAUACCUAUAAUGGGUGCAGAGAACUACAGAAGAACAGGAUAUUCCCCAAAUAUUUAAAAAAACCCUUCAACUUCAUAAGAAUAAACUCCACCCAACACAAACCUGUAACUCAAUGUUGAUAUUAGCAAAGCAGGGAAAAGGGGGAUGUUAUACAAGAAUACAUUAAGAUAAUUAAAGACUCUCUAUUUUUACUGAUAUGCCCUGCUAAAAGCCAUGUUCUACUGGCCAAACAUUUUGUUUUCAAGCUGGCAUCUUAAUUCUAACCCUGAUAAGGUGAUUUCAUCUCUUGACUGAGGCACAUCUUCUAACCCUGGUUAAGUUGUUCAGCUGCCUCACUGAGAUGUUGCAUUAAAUGAUGUUUAUAAAAUGUUUCAGGGAGGCUACACAUUACUGCUACUGUGACCAGCUCAGUCCCUCACUGCGCUUUUAACUGUUCCUGUCCAUAUUCACGGAUUUGGAGCUCAAAACCUGAAACGUGUCACCCAGUUUGCAGUAUUUAAUACAAAUAAAAUGCUCUCUUUUUUGGGGGAGUGGAGAAUGUCUUGUCUGUAUUUUCUAGAUAGAUUUUCUCAAGAGGAGCUACCAGUAAACCACAUUUACUCCCAGAUUCCCUUUACUUCCCUUCACCUGAAGAAAUGUAACGACUGAAGGCAAUUUAAAGAUAGGCUUCACAGAAACAAUUCGCUUUCUUUGCCAGAUCUUUGUUUUUAUCUAUUUAUCUUUCCAGUUAGGAUCACCUUUCUAAAGGGGCACGAGGUGUUUUUGAGAAAGCAGAUCUACAUAUGGCUGCUAAAGGGAAGUUUUUUAAUAAUGAAAAACCCCAUUUGACGAAGCCAAACCAACAAGUUGACUUUCUGCGGCUCAUUCUGAAUUUUAUUACCACUUCAGCAGCAGUCCCCCGGGGCAAGCUGUAGAAGGCUGGGAAGUAUAAUGCUCUUCAGUAUACAAGAUGAAGCUGGCAUGCUACCAACAGAGGCUCAAAGGCUCCUCAACUAUCAUGAGAACGGCAUCUGCCACAUGUGUUUGCACCAUUUAGUCUUUCAUAACCUGCCAGAGCGAUCAGGCUAAAUAUGUACAAGAUGACAAUGUUUGCCAGGAGCAUAACGGGUUUUCAAACUUGGUCACUUCCUAACGGGGAUCCCCUGCUGGCAGACUUUUAUAUCGACAGAAGCUAUCAUGGGAAGGCAUUUGUAACGAGAUGGGAUGAAAUGGUCUCCUUUUGAAGACAAUAAGCGACAUCCUUUUUGUUGCUAGGAAGCUGGUCUCGCCUUUCUUUGACAAACAAUAUUUAAAGUCUGUUCUGCCUCAUUUGUGAUGUGUAGCCUACAUUAGAUGAAAGGGAAGAAGGAGGAAAAUAUUUAGUGGCGUCCUGUACAAAAGACAUGGAAUCUUUCCCUUUUCAAGAGAUGCAGCAUUAAAUAAAAUGGGCAAAGUUGGCGAAUGCUAGCAAGCAAAAAUGGAGGAUGCACGCACGUGGCUUUCUGUCCGAGACCGAUCUGUAUUUCCUCUCCAUUUCAUCUGCACUACGCACCACUUUCAGAGAACAAGGCUUCUGCCUCUGUGAAAGCGAAGUCUGAAGCUGCCGUAGGUCUGCAGUGUGUCCUGGCGCUCUGAAGCAGGGGCAGCGAGGACCUGACACUGACCUCUGGCAGCGUUUCUGCCAUCUAAGCCCAGUCUAACGGCACGAGAUGUAUCGCCGACAGCAAGAUGUUGAAGACAGAAAGUCUUAAAAACUGAAUGAAGAACCUUCAGAAUAACACCCUUGGUUCAUACAACAACAAAACAAAAAGCAAGAUAUAAAGUUAAAAAAAAAUAAAUCAGUAAUUGCAGUUUUCAUAAAUAAUUUUAAACCUCGUGACAAGAAGGUAAUGUCAGAAAGGAGACGACCAGCUCUGUAGAGUGAGCUUAUCUAUUCUGGUAGACCUAAUAUUUUAUCCUUCGCAAGCUUGACAUAACUGUGAUACUCAUACAGAUCACUUCUAUCACACCACUGCAAUGUUUUCCAAACUUGUGCAAGUUGGGCUUCCCUUCAUGAAAACGAAGCAAAGCAAGGCCUGAAUAAUUUCCACUUAUAUUAUUAAAGACGGGCUUCUGAGCACCAUUGUUGAUUUCGACUUUGUGCAUUUCAUAUCAGGUGCUUUUCUUGGAAAAUCUCAGCUGAAAUCAUCUCUGCAAAAAAGAAAAACACUGGUGGAAAGAGAAACUGAAAGCAGUGAUAUGAAUGUGUCCAACAUGGCAAACAAAACAGAAACCAAUUUUUAAAAAAGGUUUGAUUUUCUCAUUCCUCUUAAUGCGAAAGUAAAUCUCAUUAUUGCAGCCUGAGAAAUAGUGGUUUUCUUUUUAAUAUGAGGGUUGUAAUAUGUUUUUAAUUACUUCCAUUCCUUUUCUUGCUGCUUCCGUGAGCCCGAUGACAGCAGAGAUAACCGGUGCCACCGCGGACAGGCCUGUGGGCACACCUUACGCACUGGGAAUGCAGACCUGACGGCUCAUUAAACUACAUGGAAUAAUCCCUCCCUGCAGGAAAUUCUUUUAGGAUUUACAUGAAGUUUCUGGAGUGGCUUUAAAGAUGUUGCCUUUUCAGACAGCAGACCUUUCUGCUUCUCAGUACAUGCUGCUUUGGACAGCUCAUCCUGCAUCUGCAAAGCUGGAAAACAAGAAACUGGCCCUGAGGUGGGGAUUUAUCUUGGGACCAGCAUCUACUGAAGCCAUGAGCUCAUCUUCCCCACAGGAAGAUUUCAAGGGCAUUGAAAGAAAAUCACCCUAAAUCCUUAAAUUCCUCCUCUAAGUCUCAAAGAAAAAAGCUAGUGAUAAUUCCCUUCUUUUGUCUUCUUGUGGCACCUGCACAGUCCCUCUCCUGGGACAUGAGGAAGCAGAUCAGACUUCAUCUCCCCAAAAUAAGAGCUGAGGCAGCACCACGGCGACAAGCACUACAAAGCAGGCGGUGCUGGAAGUGGCCACUGAUUCGUCCUACGCGUUAGGCAUCGGUUUGGAACAGAUGUGCACACAGCACGUCAUGCAAAACGUGCUGGAUGCCUGAAGAGCCGCUUUGAAAUCCAGCGCAGCGCGAGAGCGAGGACUGCAGGGUCCCGCCACAGCCCUUGUCUUUUGUCUGCACGCUCCGCACAGACUCCGCGCAUUGAUUAGCAGAGAGGAGCUUUUGUAUCGAUUUAGAAUCGCGCACAUCUGACAUUUCACUUGAUAUGUGUGUUUCAUUUGGUUUUCUACGUUGCCUAAAAGUGACUUUAAAGAGGCAGAAGCCCAUCUGAAAUCUGGAACAUAAAAAUGUGCUCACCAAGGAAAGUGCCUAUUCAGAUGAAGCUAAGAGAGGCGCCGGGGAAGGCAAAACUCACAUCAACUGGAGGUGUCUCAGUUCUGAAAGAUGAGAAAUGAGGAGCAAGUAAGCGAGGCUGGGUCAGGAACUGGAGGGCACAGGCACAGAACGGUCCCUGCCCCAGUCCCUCACCUCUGUCAGAGCGCCGCAGGCAGCAGAAGCCGGGGAAGCUACAACUACGAGCAGCGGCUUUGGAGCUGCCUCUUACAGGGGAUAAACUGAAAGCUGGCAGAACAAAGGUCCCAAAAAUAAAGUAAAACAAGAGCGCACACUGGACGUUGAGGGUUAAAAGUAAUAAGAAUGACAAGGUUGAGAGGUGUUUUAAACAAGAUCAUUGUCUGCAAAGGGUACAGAUGAAGACUGACCGUCUCAUUGUUACAAUAUAGUUUGUGAAGCUCCAGAGCCUUUAUAAAGAGCUUUCUCCUUCAUCAGUGCCCUCAGCUUUUAAAAUGAUUAGACGACAAGCUGAAUGUUGCUGCCCAUCAUCAAGAAAUAUUACUGUACAGGCUGAGGAAAGGGUGAAAAGUUAUCAGACAAGUAUGCAUUAUCUUGCUGCCUUCAUCUUGAACAGACCGAGACAUAACUGUAUCAGGGCAAACUAACAUCAGUAAUACGUCCUUCCCUUAGUGUCAGCCUCAGGGAGGACACGGUUGUGACCCGAGUAAAGUAUUACCCAAUUACACCACCAAAGAGCUUUCCUGUGGAUGAAGAGCAAGCGUCAGAUGCUCACGACCAGCUGGAUGAGCCAGAAGGAAGAAAAGGCAUGGGAAGCAAAGGGAGCUGGAAAUUUAAGCCACACUGGUAUGGCAGAGAUGUGACAGCAGAGUCAGAGCCUCUGGGGUUGUUCGUAUAUAAAACAAGUAAUGAAAUAUCUGCAGUUAAGGGAAUUCUAACCACCUAGUACAUCCAAAAUCAGGGAAGCUCUGCCCGGGAAGGCAAGGGGACCACACAGCCCCACGUCCUGCCGGCUGACAGGCAGGACGGUGUCACCAGAGGGGAGGGGAGGGGACGGCUGCAACCUCCAGGCUGGGAGCCAUCUGUCAGCCCGGGAGGGGAGGGAGGGAGGGAGGCUGCCGCUUUAGGAAAAGAGGAGAUUUUCUCCCGUUGUUUUCAUCCUGCAGGACUCAACAAAUUAAGCCCCUAAGAACUGCCAAUCAACAGUUGAUAUUGGCUCAAAUCCCAAAAGGCCCAGAGCUGCUGCAGUGCUGAUUCCUGCACAGCCUGCUCCCUUGCAAACCCAGCUGCCUUCCUGGCGAAGGCUGCUCUCCAGAGCCCUGUCCUCCUCCGAGCCUGUCCUCCCAGGUGGCUAAAAGCAGAUACAGGAGCCACGCAAGACAGCUGAACUGGUUUUGGAGAACAUAAAGCCCCUGACAUCACAAAUAAUUGACGUCUCUCAUCUUAGAGGCUGGGUAAGAGAGACCUCAAGAGGGAAGAACCAUGGCUGGAGGAAGGAUGGUAAGGGGGGCACAAAAGGGCAAGAGAAACAAACCAUGAGGAAAUGGGGGUCGCGAAGGAAUGGCACAGGCCACACAGGCGAGGUGGUGGGGAAAAGGUGGCGGGGGGCGCCAUGGGGAGGUGGUGAAUAGAUAUGAAGUUGCAAGAACAAGAACCACUUCCACCCUGUGGAAGAAGGAUAAAAAUAGAAGGAUUUCAGGCAAAGAGGAGAGAAACUGCAGAGCUGCAUAUGAGGAGAGAGUGGAAGGAACAUCACAACGGAUAUGGGGACCAAAGUCAGGACACUGCUAGUAGACAGAAGUGUUAUGCAAGGUCUUCACCUCCAUAAGGAAGGGCUUAACUAUCCAUACAUUAAACAGAAAAGGGUCAGGAAAACCAAUGACUUAGAGCUUUCCAGCGCAGGGGAGGUGGCAGGGACCACGGACUCCUGGGGAGCUCUCCGAGGGAGGCACGUGGCUCUUCCUUUCCAGAAUUACACCAGACUUGCUGGAAAAAGAAGCAUGCCUGCAGCGGGAUGUGUUGAGGGGGCCAUACAGCUUGCUACAGAUGCACGUGUUGAAGUGACUCUACUAGAAGUGCUCACUCACGUGGAUUAGCCCAAUAAAGAAAAACAGAACUAUUCCGCCCAUUGGGAAAGGCUAAAACCUGUCCCACAUCUCAGCGGGGCCACACCUGUGAAUGUGCAUAUAAAAUUACUUAGAUAUUGAUACUACACAUAAACAAGAAUGCAGUCAUUAAUGUAGAAGGAGAAAAAUCUAUUUAAAAAUAUAUUUUCAUUAAGUUAUGUAGUAGGCCUCUCUAUCCUGACAUUAUUGGCUUCUCCUAUGACUUAAUCAAAUCUUAAUCAAAUGCACAUAACUAUAGACAGGAGUUAAUGUCUGCAUUUAAAUAAUAAAAGGAAUUCUGGAAUUAUUUAGAAAAUGAAUUAAGAGUAUUUGUCACUCAGCAGUGAACAACUAUUUGUGAGUCAGGUGACUAAAACACAUUUUAAUCCAAAUCACUCAGGGCAUUAACAAUGGUUUUAUUGGGAUUUUUAAAAAACAAUUCUUUAGACUAACAAGCGAAUGUUC